rnacentral:rRNA from 1 species
GAUGAACGCUGGCGGCGUGCUUAACACAUGCAAGUCGAACGGAAAGGCCCAAGCUUGCUUGGGUACUCGAGUGGCGAACGGGUGAGUAACACGUGGGUGAUCUGCCCUGCACUUCGGGAUAAGCCUGGGAAACUGGGUCUAAUACCGGAUAGGACCACUUCUUGGAUGUUGUGGUGGAAAGUUUUUUCGGUGUGGGAUGAGCUCGCGGCCUAUCAGCUUGUUGGUGGGGUAAUGGCCUACCAAGGCGUCGACGGGUAGCCGGCCUGAGAGGGUGUACGGCCACAGUGGGACUGAGAUACGGCCCAGACUCCUACGGGAGGCAGCAGUGGGGAAUAUUGCACAAUGGGCGCAAGCCUGAUGCAGCGACGCCGCGUGGGGGAUGACGGCCUUCGGGUUGUAAACUCCUUUCGCUAGGGACGAAGCGUUUUGUGACGGUACCUGGAGAAGAAGCACCGGCUAACUACGUG